AUUGAACGCUGGCGGCAUGCCUUACACAUGCAAGUCGAACGGCAGCACGGACUUCGGUCUGGUGGCGAGUGGCGAACGGGUGAGUAAUAUAUCGGAACAUAUCUUGUAGUGGGGGAUAACUAUCCGAAAGCAUCGCUAAUACCGCUUACGCUCUAAGGAGGAACGUGGGGGAUCCCAAGACCUCAUGCUAUAUGAGUGGCCGAUAUCUGAUUAGCUAGUUGGUGAGGUAAAGGCUCACCAAGGCGACGAUCAGUAGAUGGUCUGAGAGGACGACCAGCCACACUGGAACUGGGACACGGUCCAGACUCCUCCGGGAGGAAGCAAUGGGGAAUUUUAGACAAUGGGGGCAACCCUGAUCCAGCAAUGCCGCGUGAGUGAAGAAGGCCUUCGGGUUGUAAAGCUCUUUUGUCAGGGAAGAAACGGUUGUGGCUAAAAUCCAUGGCUAAUGACGGUACCUGAAGAAUAAGCACCGGCUAACUACGUGCCAGCCGCCGCGGUAA
rnacentral:rRNA from 1 species